UGGCUGAGCUGGUAAAGAAUCUGCCUUCAACGCAGGAGACCUGGGUUCAAUCCCUG
rnacentral:tRNA from 1 species